rnacentral:rRNA from 1 species
UACAGAGGGUGCGAGCGUUAAUCGGAAUUACUGGGCGUAAAGCGCGCGUAGGCGGCUUUGCAAGUCGGGUGUGAAAUCCCCAGGCUCAAUCUGGGAACUGCAUUCGAGACUGCAUUGCUAGAGUAUGGGAGAGGGAAGUGGAAUUUUCGGUGUAGCGGUGAAAUGCGUAGAUAUCGGAAGGAACAUCAGUGGCGAAAGCGACUUCCUGGACCAAUACUGACGCUCAUGUGCGAAAGCGUGGGGGAGCAAAACAGGG